rnacentral:lncRNA from 1 species
CCCGGUGUAUUUUCAUAUAGUGGGAUCUGGGGAGGGUAGAAUAUACGUAGUCCAUACCACUACUUUUAAGGAAGUAGAGAAAAAUUUGCACAGAUUGUAAAGUAACAAAAAAUGACAUCUUCAACUCUCAAUUAGUCGGAACUGGUCACGAAUACACAAUCUAAAAUAAAUAAGUACACAUACUAAAAUGGUGAUCAAAUUAUUAUAAUUAAUAAUUAAUUAAAUUUAGACUUACUGCUUCCUCGGGAGGAGAGGGGGGAAGGAAGGGUGAAAGGAUCAAAAUUUUUUACUUUUUUUUUUAUUUUUGGCCAACAACCAUCUUAGAAUUCUUAGACAUAAAACUUCUUCUUGGGACUUCUGCUUCUGAUUGAGAUAUUGCUUGUACAGCAAGCUCAUCUAGUACAAUGAUUUUGUCCAAUAGAUGACAUAUCUGUUGCAACAAAUGAGUCAUCUAUUAAAAAAAAAACAAUAGCAAGAACACAACAAUAUCACCAUUUAUCAAUACACCAUAUUUACCUAUAAAACAACACCAAUAAGACCAAUAUUUAUCAAUACACCACCACCAACAACAACAACACAAACAAAUCAAUACCGCAAACACUAACACACACCAACAACACCAAUAUUUACUAAUAAAUGAAUACCAACAACAUCAACAUUUAUCAAUAUUUACAAAUAUACUAAUACAAACAAAACCAACAACACCAACAAUCAACUUAACCAACAGAAACAUUUACCAACAUUUAAUAAUACCCCAACAACAACAACACACCCAACAACAUCAACAAACAAAAACAACAACAAAGUCCAAAAAAAUGCAACAAACACCAACGAAUCAAUUGUUGUUUAAGUAAUUGUUCACUUAAAUCAACAAAACCAACAGUUGUUGAAUUUGGCCAUAACAAAUUUCUUCAAAAAAAUUUAAAAUUCAAGUUUCACUAUCUUUACAAUAAUGUUCAAGAACAAGAACUACAACAAUAAUAAAUAAAAUCAUAUUUAACUCAGAAAAGGUACCACGUUUACAUCAAUCACCAUAUUAAGAGAAGAAAUACAAUAAAUUAGAAUUUUCUUGAGUUUUCAUUUCAUUUUUAAGAGAAAUAUAUUAAAAUGGUUCACCUAUACUAGAUGAGAAAGUUAACUCAAGUUCCUUUUUUUCUUCAUAACUAAAAAGUCCUAAUUAAAAAAAAAGUCUUUACCUGUGAAAAGAGAGAAAUUGACAGUUGAAAGUCGAAAAGAAAUGAUAAAGAACUUGAAGCUAUUAUCGCCGGAGAAUGUUGUUACAUCAAUCAGUUAAGGAUGAUUUGCAGUAGUUGUUGGAUGAUUGAGAGAGAGAGGUGAGACGUUUGAGAGGAGAGACUAGGAGAGUUGUGAUUUUUGAAAACUGACUUUACUUUUUUGUUUUUAUCAAAAAUAGUUGUGGAUUGUUUUGUAUUUUUAAAAAGAUUAAGAAGUUUUAAAAAUGUUAAUUGAGUCCCCAAUUAACUUAAACUAAUUUUAGUUGUCUUUGACAUUUAAACUUGGUCAAGAGUCACCAAAAACUAAAACAAGACUUGGAGACACCUUUUGUUUAAUUUUAUUGUCAAACCAUACUCCCUUCGAUUAUAUUUUACAUUAGUUCAUGUUAAGACUUGAUUAUCUUCUUUAAGAAAAUUACUAUUUUAAAAGGUAGUUACGUGGCGAGGUCGAGGCAAAGAAUAGUAAAAAAAUGCAUUGAACCAUUGUAGGAAGGUGAAAGUAUCAAAAGAUGAAUGACUCAAAAUUUUAAGUGAUUAUUUAAGCGUUGGGGCGUUCGCCUAAGCAAGCCCAAAAAACUUGACAAAGUAAAAUGAUUUUUUUCUAUUAAAUCUCUAAUUUAAACUUACUACUAAAAUAUAUGAUUGAUAAACACUUAAAUAUUCAAACCAAAAGUAAAAAAAAAAAACUUAAAAGUCAUACUUUUAAAUGUAUUUGUCGUGGACGUCAAUGACGUCUACUAAAAGAAGAUAUUGCAUACACACUUUCCUCUUCCUAGUUCCUUUUGACUAGGUUUUAAGUUAUUUACUUUUUAUUUUUCUAUUUUAAAAUAGAAUAUAUGGUAAAUGGAUGCAUAAAUAAUUGAUUGAGUAACAAGAAGAUGGGAUUGAUUAGUCAUGUACUAUUUUUUAUACAGACUUGUGUUUUUUAGGAAAUAUAGUAGUUUUGUAUAUGAAAAGUUGACCUUAUAUAUUAGUUGUAUUAUGUGGCUUUGGUUAAUUUUUUUUUGAAGUAGUUUUAAAUAUAUCUUCCACUUUUUUUUUUUUUAUAAUUUUGAUGUAGUUUCACUUUUUUGGGUGAUUUAUCUUUUAAAAAUAUUUAUUUUUAAUUAUAUUAUUUUAUAAAAUAUUAAAAAUAAUUUGUGGAUCUUACGUCUCAUGUCGCACACGAUAAAACGCUUCGUCCCACGCCUCCGUCCUUAAAAAUACUUAAGAAAACUUUAAUUGUAUGGAUAUACUAAACUAAGCUUAUAAUGAUGCAUGAGACUUUAAAUUUGAUUACUACUAAUUUAUAUAGUUAUUUAAUAUAAGGGCAGAAAGGAAAAAUUAAUAAUAAAAUUACAUUAAUUAUCUAGAAAAAUCAUUGAACUUUGCUUUCUAUCAAAAAUACCACUCAACUUAAGAUUUUUAUUUUUUAAAAUCACUCAAUAAAAAUGACAUGACAAAAUAAAUAAAUUUUUAUGUCAUCUAAACAUAGACUCCACAUUAAUAAAAUCUACAACGAUAACAAUAACAUACCCAGUGUAUUCCUACAUAGUGGGGUUUAGGGAGGGUAGAGUGUACGCAGAUCAUACUACUACUUAUUUUCGAUAGACCCCCAACUAAAGACCGAUAACAAUAUAAAAACCCAAAACAUAGAUGCAUAUAAACUUGUACAGUAUGCAAAAUAAACUAACACCGUUAGCCACAAGAUAAUACUACAACCACAAGAUAAUACUAAAACUAUUUAUCUAAAACCAUAGAUAUCACUCAACACCACGAACAAGACUUCAGACACAAAUAAAGAAUGCUCCCCUACUGUUGCCGACACACUCCUACCCCCAACCCUCUACCCUAAUUCGUGUCCUCCAUACCUUCUUAUCAAGGUCAUGUCAUCCGUAAGCUGUAACUACUCCUUAUCAUGCUUAAUCACCUCCCUCUAAUAUUUAUUCAGCCUACCUCUACCCCGCCUAAAACUAUUUAUAGCCAGUGUCUCACACCUCCAUACUAGAGCAUCAGAUCCCCUCCUCAUCACGUGUCCGAACCAACGUAACCUCACUUCUCGCAUCCUGUCCUCCACCAAAGCCACUCACUCCCACAUUCUCCCGAAUAAUCUCAUUCCUCAUCUUAUAUUUCCUAGUAUAGCCACAUAUUUAUUGCAACAUUCUCAUCUCCGCCACCUUUAACUUUUGGAUGUGGGAGUUCUUAACUGGUCAUCACUCCCUCCAUACAACAUAAUCGGUUGGACUGACACUCUGUAGAACUUACCUUUAAACUUAGGGGGCAUCUUCUUAUCAUGUAAAACUCUCGAAACGAGCCUCCAUUUCAACCACCCUGCCCCAAUACGAUGCGUAACAUCCUCGUCAAUCUCACCAUUGCCUUGAAUCAUAUACCCUAGAUACUUGAAACUUUCCCUCUUUUGAAAGGCUUGAGAGUCCAUCUUCACAACCACCUCAGCCUCCUACGACACAUCACUAAACUUACACUCCAAGUACUCCAUCUUGGUCCUGCUCAACCAAAAUCCUUUAGACUCAAGGGUCUAUCUCCAAAUCUCCAACUUAUCAUUAACUCCCCCUCUCCCCUCGAGUCUCGUCAAUCAGUCCCACAUCAUCAAGAAAUAACAUACACCAAGGCACCUCACCUUGAAUAUGUCACGUCAAAACAUCCAUGACCAAGGCAAAUAAAAAGUGGCUAAGAGUUGAUCUUUGGUGCGACCUUAUCAAAACCAAAAAGUGCUUUGAAUCUCCACCUACCAUUCUCACACGAGUCUUCGCGCCAUCAUACAUGUCUUGAAUCAACCUAGUGUACGCCACAGGCACCCCUCUAGCCUCCAAGCACCUCCACAGAAUCUCCAUAGGAACUCUGUCAUAUGUCUUAUCAAGAUCACUAAACACCAUGUGCAAGUCCUUCUUUCUUACCUGCAACUGCUCCAAUAAUUUCCUCAAAAGGUGAAUGGCCUCAGUUCGAGCGACCUGGCAUAAAAUCGAACUGAUUUUCAAACGUAGUCACAAUCCUUCUCAGCCUUAACUCUACCACCCUUUCCCAAACCUUCAUAGUAUGACUCAACAAAUUAAUACCUCUAUAGUUGUUGCAACUCUGGAUGUCUCCAUUGUUCUUAUAUAAUGGAAUUAUCGUACUCUACCUCCACACUUCAAGCAUCUUUACCGCCCUAAAAAUGAUGUUAAACAACCUUGCCAACCACUCCAAACCUACCCCGCUAGUGCUCUUCCAAAAAUCCAUUAGAAUCUUGUCUGGCCCCGUCGCCCUACCCCGACGCAUCCUGCGAAUAGCCCCCUCAACCUUGAUCCUUCUAUAAUAACCAUAAUCACGACACUACUCAGGUUUCUCCAAGUCCCCAAUACAAAACCUUUGUCCCUCUCUCCAUUUAAGAGUUUACGAAAAUAGGACUGCCACCUCUUCCUAAUGAGCAUAUCUUCAACCAACAGUAUACCAUCCCCUCCCUUGAUGCACUUCACUUGGUCAAGGUCACGAGCUCUCCGCUUCCUGCCUUGGCAAGCCUAUACAACUUCUUAUCCUCGCCUUUCUUCUCUAAAGUUGUAUACAAUCUCUCAAAAGCUGUUGUAAACUUGUCAACUGGGCAGGGUUGGGCCGUUUCGGCUUGGUUUGCCCAACUUAUUUAGUCUACCCAGCUUGGUUUGACUCGAUCUGAUAGGCCAUCGGGCAAUUGGACCUCCAAUCUUGGGCUGGACCAUCUAGGAUGGCCAUCUCGGUGGACCUUCCCAGUUACAAAAUGGACCUGGCCCACCAGUGACCUGGCCCGAUAAUUAAAAAAAAUUAUUGGAGCCGUUUGGAUUUUGGUUCAAAAUGGACCGCUGGCCCAACAACUAUAAUGCCAUUUGAGGUCCAAUGACCAUUUGACAAAACUUCCUUAUUUUUUCUUAAAAAAUAAAUUUAAUUCAAAAAAAUUUCUAUAAAUACCCCAAAUUUAAAUCAUUUUUCACACAAUCUUAUUCUCUCAUUCUCUCAAUCUCUCUCAAAUAUUCUAAUUAUCUCUUAAAGUGCUCAAUUUUAUUUUUUAAUUUUGCAAUAACAAAUAUCAAGUGAAAGUUUUCUAAAGUCGAAACUUUUAGAUAUUUUUAAAAUUUGGUAUUGUCGUUCCGUCUCUUACUUUAAAUUUUUAAUUAGUAUAUUAAUUGUUGAAUAUUUAUCUUUAGUAUUUUUAUGUAUUUUGAAUACUUAUUAGUUUAAUUUAUAAUAUGGAUAAAUUAAGAAACCUCGGUUAAAAUGUCAAAAAAUUUUAUCCCGAAAGUGGUAGUAGUAGUAAAAAAUAAAUUGGUGGCAGUUCCGGCAGAGGUAGUUCAAGUAUUAGAUAUACCCGUGUGCCUCCAGUACUAAUUAGUCAAUCUUUUGAGGAUGAAAUAGGUGUAGGCGCUCACGGUAUGAAUUAUUUAGAAGCUCUGAAAAAUUAUGGUAUAGAAGAAGAGAAUGAAGUAGACACGGUUAAUUUAGAUGUAUUUGAUGAAAAUAUUCGCGAGACACCCGAAGUUGAAAAUGUUAAUGCUACAUUCGAAUCGGUUAAUCUUCCUCUCUGUCCUCUCCGUGCCCCUGCAAGAUCUCGUAGAAGAACUAGUAUUGAAUGAGAAUUUUUUUCAGAAAUAGAAGGAAAAAGUAAGGUGCAAUGCAAUAUUUAUAAAAUUAUAUAUGAGCAUAAAUUCGGAGACAAUAAAGGGGGUACAGGUUCGUUGAUGAGACAUUUAAGAGAUAGAAAUGCAAGAGCGUUAAGUAUUGCACAAGGUAGUGAGGCUGUUGGUGGGCCUGCACAAACUAGACUGAACCCAACAACCGGUCAAUUAGUUAAGAAUUAUAAUAAAAUAAAGGAUCGAAAAGAAAUAGCGAAAAUGAUAGUUGUGGGUCGUCUGCCUUUCACUUUUGCUUCUUUGGAUGCUUUUACUCAUUAUAUUCAAGUAAUUUAUAAUCUUAUGUUUACAAGUAUUCCUAAAAAUACUUAUCGAGCCAAUAUUUUAAACUCCAUACACAAUAUAUUUAUUAUUUAUCUGUGUUAUUAAAAAGUAUUCCAUGUAGAAUUGCUCUAACUUCUGAUCUUGAUCGUCCUAUUAACAAAAAUGAUAUUUAACAUUACAAAAAAUAGGUCUAAUUGGAAGGGUUUAUUUGUGAGGAUUAUUUUUAACCCCUGCAAAAUUAUGUUAAAUAUGAGGUUAAAAAUGUGCCACUAAAAAUUAUAUAUUUGUGGGGGUUUUAACCCCCGUUAUCCAUCUAAAAAUAGUAGCGCCAAAUGAUUUCCCCUUUUUUGCCCCUAAAACAUUUCUCUCUCUCAUUUUUCCGAGAGAGAGUGGGAGGUACUCUCCGUCGGCCAUUGAUUACUCAGUGGGAGGUACACUGGCCAUUGAUUAGCCAGUUGAUAGGAACUCCGGCCAUUGCUACAUAAGCUUCCGAUCGGCCAUUGCCUUCCUAGCUCCAGGUACUUGUUUUUAAAUCUUAGUGUUUGUUUCACUAGCGGUGCCGCCGUGGAAAGUCAUCUCCGGAAGGAUUUUCUGGUGAUGAUAUCCAUCCCACUUGAAGCUCCAAGGUAAUUCAUUUUUCUAUGUUUGAACCGACCCUAUAACGAAGAUUUGGGUCCUCCAAAGUUCAGUCAGUGAAGACCACCACUUUUCGGUCAAUCUUCGACGCCUCUGUUAGCACUAACACCUCCAUGCCACUGUCCACGGCACUUGUCGGUAGUUGGACAAAAGUAGUGUGACUCGGUGAAAGAUCACUAUGAACGAUGUCACUGCACCUUUUCAUUUUAUGUCGUUCUCUUUAUGCUUUAACUUGAAAGGAUGGUGCAAAUAAGAAUGCUAUGUACUCUAGUUCUAGCAUCUCAGGUUAUUUUUGAUUGAGUAUGAAUACCUGACCAAAUAUGUUCAAGGAUUAUGUGUUGUUCAAUAUUAUGACACUUUUUGGCUUCUCUAUUGCUGAUUUAACAAUUGUGAUGAUUUGCUAUAAAAUAAUUGUGGUUUUCAGAAUGAAGUCUGACCUAAAACCUUUCAUGAAGCAGUGUGUUUGCUCUAUAUUAGGAAAAUAGUUGGUUGAACCAGUGGUUAGAUUUGAGCCAAGGAUCUAUUGGAAACAACUCUCUACCUUACAAGGUAGGGGUAAGGUCUUGUGCACACUACCCUCUCGGUAUCUUGUUGAGGAGUAAGGUCUCAUACAUACUACCCUUUCGAUAUCUUCUUGUUGAAAAAAUGAUUAGAUUUGCCUGAACUGAACCUUUGGUAGCUGCGGAAUGGCUUCAAGAAGUUAAUUUGGAGUGCCAUCCAUAGAAGAUAUUGUUGGCAUCUACUUGUACUGCCUUAUUCAACAUUGUUAUUUACUUUGUGAUUCAAUUAAGGUGAUUUUUAUGCCCAGAAGCUUAUUUUGUUGGGAUUCUCAAACAUGUUGUUGGGUGCGUGUUGGAUCCGUCAAAAGAUUAAUGGUUUUUGAGAAACCGAUACAGGUUUAGUGACAUUUUUGAGAGUCCGAGCAACAUAGUUGGAACAACCUUUGAGUUUCACCUGUUAGCAUACACGGACCUAACAACACACACUCGUUGGGGUCAUCGCAACAUACUGUAUUCAUAUAACAGUAUUGAUAGGUCUUUGGUAUUUGAUUUGGAUUUAGGCUCAAGUAUCCACAUAAUAAUCUAAUGGUUUCUUUUCCCGGACUAAUGGAAGAGUAGAUUAAGCUAAUUUUCACAUUUGUCCAGAUCAGAAUAGUUCAAAAUCUUGCUCAAGUCAACACCAAUCGAGACCCAUAUUGAGUCAAAUUUCUACUGAUUUCUACUCAACCAAUUUUGUGCUGAUUUCCCCAAAUUUCCCUCCUACUCCUCCAUAAUUCAUAGCCUCCAAAUUGCAAUUCUCUGCCGUCUUUCUCUCAUUUUCUAAUUCUCACCAGAAGACAUAAACUACAAACUUAGCAUUUUUCUUACACGGAUUUAGUUUAAAAUUUGUGUCUGUGUGUAUUAAGUUAAACUAAAGUUGAAGAUUUCAUGUAAAGGUUUGAGCUACAUCUGCAAAUGAUCAAUUCAAUUUUUGGUGAAUUAAACAUAUUUAUAGAUUCUCCUUCGUUAUUUCAAUGAGUGAAAGGUGAAAAACACACGUAAAGAAUCCCGAGUUUCAGUAAAUGGAUACAGAAAUGGAUGAAUGAGAAUAGUUAAUAGGUAAGUAUUAAUUUGUGAUGGAGGGAUUCUGCUAAUUUGAUCAAUGAGAAAGGAUGAGAGUUGCUGAAUUGAAGACUAACAUAUCUGUGAAGAGCAGGUCUUUUCGUCCUACUUCUACACCCCAACGGUACUUACCACUAUUACUUUCUCGAUAUCCAUCUUCUUAAUUACUUACUCAUCUUUCUAAUCAUUUUGUAUGUGGAUAUUCUCGAAGAAUCUCACCUCACUUAUUGCGUUUGUUUGUAACAAGGUCCAUAUAUUAAAGAUUUGAACAUCACCAACAUUAAUAUCAUCAAAUAGUAGUACAAGAUACAAAGGGUUUAACUUUAAGAUUUAGUCCUCAAUUUAUUCUACUGCUGUAGUAAAUUUAAUAUUUUGUUGAAAUUUUGCUAGUUUUUUCACACACCCACUUACCUUAUUGUUAAAAUAUUGAUCAGUUGAAUUGAACCGAUUGACCAAAGACUGCAUUCUAUUCCGCCAUGCUGAUUGUUUUCUUGUUUAAACAUAGUAUGGUGUUAAAGGUGUGGGGACCGCUAUAGCAAUAGCUAUUUCAUUAAUUUUCAUCCUCAGAGGUCCCUUAGCAACUUCAGCUGAGGCAUGUCAUAUAAUUAUUAGCUAGCUGUUACACUAUGAUAUACACCUUACCAUCACACAGAACUUUCUUCCAACAUAUUCAGAAGAUUGUAAGCCACUUGCUACAUUAAAUCUUAGAGCAGAACACAUACAAUAUUGUAGCUUAGUUUAUGUUCUGUUGCCUCUUAAGCAGGGCCCGAGUUAGGGGGUCCAUCGAAAUUAUUCUGUAUAUACAAAGUCUACAUUGUUUUUCUGAUGUAUAUAUAGUAGAUGUGAAUCUCCUGAAAGUUCUUCUUGUAUUUACUUCGUUAUAUUUUAUUUGAAAAUUCUGGCUCUGCCACUGCUCUCAAGCUUUGGCAUGGCCUUUUGUCCGUUCCUACAGAUCUUUUACAUCCUUGUGAUCUGCCAGAAUAUAGAUAACUUUCAAAUUCCAAAUAUUUCGGUUUUUUAUUCUUGACAUGUAAGCUGAUUGUCUUCUUCUUUCUUAUUAGGACAGUGUAUGCGUUAUUUCAUAACUUCUCUUACAACUUUUCACUAUUAUCAAAUUUUCUGUUGCAGGCUGAUUUUUGAUGUUUCUAGUGAUGUUGAAGUAGGAGCGGCCAGUUUUGCUCUUCAAAAGGUAUGAAUAAUGUAGCACCUAAAUUUUCUGUGUUCUUCUAUCUUUGAUAUAUUGAUCCCUUCGUAAGUUAUUGAACGACUCAAGCUAUCUAAAGCAGUAUUCAUGCCAGUGAAUGGUUUAGUCUACAUGUAGCUUAAAAAUCACUAUCAAAGCUAUUUUAAUAUAUUGUAGGAGGUCGUGCGCGUUAUAUUUGAGUUAGUUAUCUUGAUUGUUAUGGACAAGUACUAUAGUUAUCUUUUAGGUGAUCUGUCUUGUUUUAUGUCAGUUAAUCCCACUAUAGUUCUCCACCUUAUAUACAAUGAAAAUGUAACGAAUGAAUGUUUACUAGAGUACUAAUGUGGUUGGUUGGGUGGGAACUCUACUACCCAAAUCUAUCGCACCAAGCCUUUGGCUGGGUGUGUAUAUUUUGUGUGGCAGAAGUGGAAUAAUAGGGUGUCAUGCUAAGGAUUAUACUGUAAUGCCCCGAGAGUACACUCUGGGUGUCACAUGAUACUUACGACCCCAAAGGACCACAAGCUAACCCAUGACUGGUACCUGCUAUGAGCAUUGAUUAUAAUAAUGGAACAUAUCUGCUGAAGAAAUUUGAAAAUGCCAUACGGUUCUCAGAAUACUAAAAUAAUAACUGAGUAUAACUGGUAAUAACAUUUGAAAACUGAAUAACUGACAAUGCUAGUCUGAAAGCCUCUAACUAUCUAAAUAUGGAGUAAAUGGGACAAACCCCCAACUAACUCUGACUGAAAUAACUACUGAACUAUUGGAAUACUAAAAUAGAUAAACUCUAUCCUCAAAAUAUGAGGACUCACAACUAUAACUGCUGCUGAUAGCCUGAUCUGCUAAGUACGGUCAGGAACCUGACCGUCCGAACCUAUGAUAUGAGGCAUCAUAGCGCAAAAGAGAGAGUAUGCAUCGGUAUGUGGAAUGUACUGGUAUACUAAGUGAGGUAAGGCUGAUAUACAUGGGUUCAUAUGCAUGAGAUGAUAACUGACUGAAUGAACAUCAUGAAGUAACUGAAUAAGAGUACAUGCAAAACUAUAAUUACUGAACAUGCAAUACUGCGCAUAUAGGUAAACAUCGUGUAUCUGAGCUUAUACUAAAACUGAGUACUAAUUUCUGAUGGUUGAGUAACUGAUAAUUGAUAGCCAUGGUUCAGUAGAACUGACUGAGUUCUUUAUUGAAUACUAAGACUGAAACUGUAAUUGUGGGAGUAUUCAUCUAACCGACAUACCCAAUAUAGACUGGUUUGGGGUCCAACCUAUGACCCCAGUUGGAAGGGUGUUAGCACCUUGCCACGGGUUACUAACAAUGUUAUGUCAACUCUAAUCUGGCAGGAAAACCAUGAAAUAUAUAUGAUUGCAUCAACCCUAGUCUGGCAUGAAGACAAGUUACCCUACGUUGGCUACGUAGUUCUGUAACUCAUGGAUUGCUACUAAGGACCAAGCCCUAACUGGCAGGAAUGCCCCCAACCCUAAGUUCGCUCGGUGCUGAAUCGUACUCCUAAUUGAAAGACACUGAUCACUACACUGUACUAAGUUUGACUGGACUGACCCUGAUUGUGUUGACUGACUGAACUGGUCUGAGUUCACUGAGUUCUGUUAACUGAGUGAGUCCUACUGAUCUUGACCUUUUACUGAGACUAUUCUAUAACUACUGCAACUAAGUAAACAACUAAAUUUCAGGUAACAAAUACCCCCAGGACUCGAUAGCAUAAUGGAGAAACUCAUUAGAACUUUAGCAACACAAAAAUAGGUUACUAUGCAUAAUUUACUCAUAUGGACAUUUUAUCAAACACUAGGGGAGCAUGAUUGCUAUACAUGAUGACUAACCAGAUAGAGUAUCAUAACUACAACAUGCAACUAGCAAAUUCAAGGGUUUUGACAUGAGAGAUUCAUAAUCUAACACACAUGCUAACUUAAUUUCAUGGAACUCAUAAAAGAUCUUAACUUGAAACCCAUACAACAACACAAACAUGAACAUAAUUUAAUUCAUAACAUGGGAAUCAUAAUUCAAGUUUUGAAAAGGGUUCUUAAACUCCAAGGGCGGAAGGAAACCCAAGGAUAAACACCUAACAUAUACUUGAGUGACGAAAUUAGUGAAGAUUGUUGGGUAUUUCUUGAAACUUGAUCUUGAGCUUGAUGAACUAGGGUUUAUUUUUUGAGAGGAUUUUGAUAAUGAGUGAAUGUAUUUUGUCUAUUGAGGGUCUGAAUUUCGUGAUAUGGGGGUCUAAUGUGGGAAGAAAAUGACUUAAUUACCCCCACAAACCCGUAACUUAAUACAAAAUCUCUGCCCAGCGAUGCAAUGACCGAUGCGCCGCAUCAAUGAUGUAGAUGCGAUUGCCGACGUGCCGCAUCGAUGCUGUCGACGUGAUAGCCAACGCGAUGCGUCAAGAUCGCAUUGGUUUGCUGUUUUGGUCAUCUAAACGUGACUCUAACAAUGUCCAAGAAAUUUGAAACUCACCCAAGAUGACCUAUUGACAUCCCUGAUCAUGAAUCAACUUAAAAAUUGAUAUUCUAAGGUCGUAAGGAUAAAAAAUAAGAUCAUCCAAUUACAAAGGUUAAAAAUGCUUCUAAGUCUUAACACUCAGUUGAAUUUUUUUUAAGUCUGAGACCCCUUAUUACAAGCUUUAUGAGACUGAAUUAAACUAGAGCUUUUGUGGGGUCUUACAGAUACAAGGAGAGUACAACUACUAACAAGGGAGAUAGGUAAUAUCACAGUAUGUUGUCAAACACAACGAAAAUUGAGACCACCUGAACUAUUCAUCCCCCAAACUAUACAAACGAGACAUAAUAGAGAGAACUCAUUACAGCAAAAUGAGAAAUGUAAUAAGAGGCGCACAACUACAGAGUUAUAUCAAAGGUAAUAAGAAACAGAAGCUUAUGAAUCAAAUAGAAUGCUAAUAUCAAAGUUAAAAAGAAAAGAAAAAGAAUAAAAGGUGCUAAGCUAGUCACUGUCACGUGCUGUCAGCACUCCUGGGAGCACCAGUGGUUGAUUUGAAUUUUGAAAAGUCGACUAGGUCCCCGGAUAAUUUGUCUUAUGGUUUUGAUGGCUUUCCAGAUGGCAUAUACGAAGGAGUGGAAACUAGAUAAGAAGAACCAUUAUUUGUCAUAGAGAACCCAGACGUUCCUUGGGCUAGGAACUAAGUAUUUUGUUGUUGAGGGUUACCAUAAUCAUAACUGACCAUUUGGUUAACAUACAUUUGUUGGGAAUACAUAUAAGCCAUAUGACCAGAAGGCAUUUGUUGUGGAUAUAAACCCGUUGGCUGUUCACGUUGGAAUUGUUGAGGAUGCAAGCCUUCCAUCUGAUUGCUUUGCAUGGUCUAAUUAUUCAUCAUAGCAGGUUGUCCAGUAGUAUUUGGCUGAUAUAUGUCGUGGAGGUAUGUACCGCCCACUAGUUGUUGGGCAUUUGCUGCAACCAGCUGAUUAUUUUGCAUUGACAUAGCAUGUGGACUUCCAGGCAUCACCUGAUUAUUAAGCAUAGGCUGAGCACUAUACUACUUUUAUGCUCACAAGUCAAAUAUUAACUAUUAAAUUUCAAAUCAUGUAACCCAAAUACAACUGCUAUGAAUCAAUUUUACAUAUGAGCCAAAAAUUGGGUUUAAUAGGAAGAUUAUGAUGAUAUUGUCUGAAGAACCGGUUUUCUAUUUUGGUUAAACUCAAAUAUCGAUGAUGUUUUUAGUUGUACGCAGAUAUAAAUAUUUUAUAACAAGGACUGAAAAUUUAUCUGAUUGAUUUUUAUACUUUACAUUUUUAUGUAGCCAAGUGAUGCGGCUAGUUGACCUAUUUUGUCCAUGGAUGCAAAGAGACCAUAUGAUGAUAGUAAUCCUAAUGACGGCCAUUGAUUUCGUUACAGAUUGUCUUGGAUAUUCAAUUAAGAUGAUGUAACAGUGUGGUUGGAGCGAAUCUUAAAAUAUUGAAGGUCUUGUGUUUAAAUUUGAUUUUGGAGUUCGAAGAUACUAGUUUAUGUUGAAAAUUUGGAGUUUGAAGAUGCUAAUGUUGAAAAUUUAAUUUUGAAGUUUAAUGUUCAAUGCAUUUUUGAAAUGCUUGUCACUUACAAUGUCUAAUUAGUCAUAUUGUGUUAAUAUAUGAAUUGAAUCAAUAUUGGAUUGUAGAUUAUGUCUAAAGGAACAAUUAAAUUUCAGCUAAAAUUAGAAUUUAUAAUUUGUUAUUGAAAAUUGAUGGGUCCCACUAAAUUUUAAAAAAAAGUUCGGAGGUUUUAAACCGCCUCAAUUUGUAAAUAAAAAUUUAUUAUAAAAGAAUUAAAUUUAGAGUAACGGAGGUCAACCGUCGCAAAAUAAUCUCCACAAAUCAAAUAUGACGAUCGAAAAAAAUUGUCGCAAAUUGUUUGUGACGGUUCGUAUUGUGGGGGUUUUGGGAACCGCCGAAAUCGCAAUUUGCGGGGGUUUAAAACCCCACAAACCUUAAAAUUAACCCCCGCAAUUUCACCCUCUUUUUGUAAUGAACAAUUACUUGUCACUUGAUAGAUAGUAAUUUUGUUAUGCAAAAACGCAUUCUAGCAUUUUUGUAUGAUGAAGAUCAUAGACACAUUGAAAGAUUUAUUUCUGAAUCUAUUUCUAAAGUAGCAAAAUAUUAUGGUAUUAAAAGAAAAGUUAUAUGUAUAGCUUUUGAUAAUGCAUCUAACAACAAUGCUGCUGAUGAGUUGCUAAAAGUUGAACUUUCUCCGCCGUUAUCCAAAAUAUUUCAUGUUAAAUGUACUUGUCAUAUAUAUAAUUUAAUCGUAAGAGAUGGUCCUAAUUUUUUUGAGCUUUCUAUUGAAAAAGUCAGGCUUGAUGUUAACUUUAUUCAAUGAAAUAAUCAAAAAGCUUGAGUGAGAGAAUUUAAAACCAAAUGUGAACAUAAUGGACUUAGACCGAUAUUUAUGCCUGAAGAAUGUGAUACUAGAUGGAAUGCUACUUAUACUUAUUUAAAAACUUGUCUUGCUUAUAAAGUUCCUAUUAUAAUGACUUUUAAUCAUUAUUCUGGUUCUUUUUCUGACUGUAUGCUACAUGAUUCUGAUUGGGCUGCAAUUGAUGAUCUUGUUUAAUUUUUGGAAAAGUUUAUAUAGCUACGAUUGAAUUCUCUUGUGCUUAUUAUCCUACUGUUUGUAAUAUUUUAGCUUAUUUAGCCGACAUUUCUUGUUUGCUUAACGAAUAUAAGAAUAAACAAGGUUACAAAGAAGUUAUUACUACUAUGAUUGCUAAAUUUUAAAAAUAUCUUUAUCUGUUUUCCUCAAUUUAUUUGAUUAGUGCUACAAUAAAUCCAUGUAUGAAAUAUAAUACUAUGUCUGAAUUUAGUUCUAUUAUUUAUAAUGAUUUAGAGAUACAGCCUGAAAAAGAACCUUCUUUGUUUACGGCUAUGAAUGAUGCGAACAAUUACAUGCAAGCAUUAUAUAACCAUUAUACCGAUUUACUUGAUGAAGCCGUACCGACAAAUAUCACUCCAACUGUCGUUCCUCAAACUCGAUCCCCAGGAGUCACCAUCUUCUAAAAGGCAGACACAUAGUAGUUAUCCUGAUUACUUUUUUGAUUUAAAUGUUUGGAACAGGGUGCAACCUUCAUCACACAAAACAAAUUCUCAAGAAGAGCUUAAGUAUUUUCCUUGACAGCCGAUAGAGGAUCGUAGAGCAAGGAUCUGCGCACUGAAUUAUUGGAAGAAUAAUGAAAGACAAUAUCCAGUGCUUUCAAGAAUAGCUAGAGAUAUAUUGAAUUUUCCAAUGUCAACUGCUGCAUUGGAGCACGCUUUUAGUCACGACGACAAAAGCUUGGAGACAACUGACACUCCUUGGGAAGCAAUGCUAUGAAUGUUCUAGUUUGCCUUAGAGAUUGAAUUAGAGCGGAACAAAGAAAUCAAGGAAUGGAGGAUGAGCCGAAAUACGAACAAAAUCUUGAAGAAAUUAUGACUUCAAGAGAGAACUCAACACAAUCAAGUCCAAUGCAUGAUUUAGCCUUUGCCCUCGAUGAUUUUGAGUUUUCUAUGGCAGUUCCCGUUAAUAUUACCAUGCAUGAGUUGAAAAAAAUGAUGCAAAAUUUGUAGAUUUUUCAUUCAUGUAAAUUAUAAGUUUUGGAUCAUUUUGCAAUCAAUAAAUACAAUACUCAUUCACUCCUUACUUAUUUUUUUAAUUUAAAUUGAAUGUCUAGUUUGAAUUAAAUACUUUUAAUAUAUUACUAAUUUACUAUCAAACUUUACACUAAGUGUUAAACAUAACAAACAUAUAUACAUAUAAUUAAAAAAUAAAAAUAUAUUAGCAAAUAUUACUUAGACAAAUAGUAUUGACAUAUAAAAAUACUAUAAGUUUAUCUUUUAAGUGUUGUAUGUAAAAUGGUAAAUUUUUGAAUGUAUGUUCAAAAACUUCAAGUAUCAUUAUAUUAAGUAGUAUAUAUUGUAAUAUUGUAUGUAUAUAUGCGUGUAUAUUUUUUAAAGUACUAUAACAUGUAAUGUAUAUAGCUUUCAACUUUCAAGUGGUAUUUUAAGUAGUAUAUAUUCUACAUAGAUGUGUAUAUUUUUUCUAUAGUAUUAUAUAUAUAGUGUAUAUAUGUAGUAUAUAUAUUGUUUCAAAUAGUAUUUUAAGUAGUGUUUAUAUAUAUAUACAUACAUAUAUAUCUAUAUAUAUAUUAUAUUGUAUGUAUAUAUGUAUAUAUAUUUUCUAUAAACUCUAUAGUAGUAUAUAUUUAAUGUAUAUAUGUGUACAUGUUUUAUAAAGUAGUAUAUGUAUAGUGUAUAUUUGUUGUAUGUAUAUUGUUUCAAGUAGUAUUUUAAGUAGUAUAUAUAUUAUAUUGUACGUAGGGGUGACAAUUUCAGCCCAUAUUUGUAAAAAGAAUCUAUUUAACCCAUAUUUAGUGAAUUGGAUCACUCAUAUUUCUAAUGGGUAAAUAUGAACUUCAACUCAUUUUAAAAGCUCAUACAAAUAUGAACAAAAUGGGUAAAAUAUGGGUACCCAUUUAAACACAGAGAUCACCCACCUAUGCUUAAAGUUCCAGUUUUUUUUUCUUUUCUAGUUUCUUUUCUUCUUCUUGUUUUCUUUCUUUUUUCCUUUGAUUUACUUUUUUUCUUUUUCAUUUUUUUUUAUUUUUUUACUCAUUACUUAUAAUUUCUUUUUUUCUUUCUCAUUUUUUCAUCUAUUUUUUUAUUUUUAUUUCUUUUUUCUUUGUAUUCUUUUUUUUUUCCGCUUUUCCUUUUCUCAUUCUUAUUUCAUCAUUCGUAUUCAUUUGAGACCUACAUGGGUUAAUAAAUAUAAGCUUCUAAUUAUCCCAUUUAGCCUAUAUAAUUCAUAACAUCUCUUAUCAAUUAAAUAUAAUCCAUAGUGUCACUCCUUUAUUAUUAUUUUUUUUACCUUUUAUUUCUUUUUCUUUUUUUUUUCUUUCUUUUUUCCUUUAAUUUAAUAUUUCUUUCUUUCUUUUUUCCUUUAAUUUAAUUUUAUUUUAUUUUUCAUUUUUUCCACUUAUUUUUACUCGUUUCUUACACUUUUUUUUCUUUCUUCUUUUUCAUCAUUUUUUUUAUUUUUCAAUUUUAUUUUUUUGCAUUUUUUUUUGUAUUUUCGUUUCCCCCUUUUUCAUUCUUGGUUCGUCAUUUUAUCUUUUUUCUUAUUUUUUUAUAUUCUUUUUCUCAUCUUUUUUUUGUCAUUGCAUUUUAUAUUUUUUUACUUUAAAUUUAUUUGUAUCAUACAAUAUAUUUCAAAUAAAUUUAUUAUUUGUAUUUGAAUAGUUUAGUUGUCAAUAUGUGCAAUUUAUCAUUUGUAUUUAUAUACAAAUAAGUAUAUGAAUUAAAAUCAACAUGAGCUGUGCUACAGUGGAUGGAGCUGCUCCACCCUUAACCAGAGGUCGAGGGUACGACCCUGGUUAUGGAGAAAACUCUGUUGGGAGCGCUGCCACCUUAAUGGGCCCUGCAACACCCGAUCCGAAUUAGUCGGGGCUCCAAUGCUGACAUCGGACACCGAAAACCGGAUGAAAAAUCAAAAAAAGUAUAUGAAUUAAUUGUAUUUUUUUUAGACUAAAAUAUAUAUGACUGAGGAUCCACAUAGCCCUCAAACUAUAAAUGUUGGACGAAUAUAAAUCAAUAUGCGCUUAUGGUAUUUUCGUUGUCAUAAUAAAAAGAAGGAAACCAAAAAUAGAAAAAAAAAUAGAAAAAGAGGUAGAAGUUAGAAAUAGAAGAGAGAAAAAAUUGUAAAGAAAGAAUUGAAAAAAAAAUACAAAAAAAAAUCAAAAAGAAAAAAUAAUGAAAAAGGAAAAAAGGAAAAAGAAAAAAGAUGAUGGUGAAAAUAAAUAUACUGAGUGGUUACGAUAUUUUAGUCAUCAUCCAUAAUUUGUACUCGACUUAACCAUGUUCUUUGAAAAUAAAAAAAAAUAUAAAACAUAAAAUACAACCAAAAAACAAAAAAAUGAGAAAGAAGUAAAAAUAAAAAAUAGAAAAAAAGGAGACUAAAAAGGAAAAGAAAAAAAAAAAGAAAAAAGAAAGAGAAACAAAGAAAUGACAAAAAAAUGGCAAAAGAGAAAAAAAAAAUUAGAGGCUACAUAUAGAAGAGAGAUAAAAAAAUCUAAAAAGAAAAAACUAAAAAAAAAUGAAAAAAAAGUCAAAUUGAUAUGAUAUAGAAGUUUUAAGUUUUUGACUUAGGAUUUAAAGUGGGUUGAAACCAUUUUUACCCAAUUCAUAUUUGACCAAAUCCAUAUUUACCCAUAUUUAUAUGGGCGGAUUGCAAUCCAAACCAUUUUUGCUCGAUCCAUACUUAACCCGUCCAAAUUCAAUCCAAUCCGCCUGUUUGCCACCCCUAAUUGUACGUAUAUAUGUGUGUAUAUAUUUUCUAUAGACUCUAAAGUAGUAUAUAUUUAAUGUAUACAUGUGUAUAUAGUCUAAAAUAGUGUAUAUAUGUAGUAUUUAUAUUGUUUCAAGUAGUAUUUUAAGUAGUAUAUAUAUUAUAUUAUACGUAUAUAUGUGUAUAUAUUUUCUAUAGACUCUAAAGUAGUAUAUAUUUAAUGUAUACAUGCGUAUAUGUUUUCAAAAAUCUAAAGUAGUAUAAUAUGUAAUGUAUAUAUGUUGUAAGUUUAUUGUAUAAUGUAUUUAAAAUGUAUAUAAGUGUGAAUAUAUAGUAUAUAUUGGAAAAAACAUGUAAUUUCUAGUUUUAAUUUUUUUUUUUUACAUUUUGAUCGAUUUUGACCUGUUAAAAUCGGUUUAAAGCUAAGUGGGCCGAUCACGGGUUGAUUGGCAGAUUUUACUGUUGGGCCCGAACCGAACCAACCAUUAAGCUUGACCCAGGACCGGACUGACCCAAAAUCCGGUAAGAAAAAUUGGGCCGAUGUCAAUUUGAACAGGACCAGCCCGGUUAACAGGGUCAAGCUGUUGUCUUAGCCGCCGUAACCGCUAACUUAGCUUUUCUUCUAGCUACCUUAUACUCCUCCUUAUUCGUCUACCUCACCUCAUCAUCUUUGGUCUCAACCAACUUAGCAUAAGUCACCUUCCUCUUAACCUCUUCGUUCCACCUCCAGUCCCCUCGAUGCUUGCCAGAUCGACCUCUCGAGAUACCCAACACCUCUCUAGCGGUCUCCUUAAUUCAACUGACAGUCGUCUCCCACAUACUACCCAUAUUUCCUCUACUCUCCUAAGACCCUCUAUUCUUUAACUUCUCCUCCAUCUCCAAAGCACUAGCCAAAGUCAAGCUAGCCCACUCAAUCCUGGACCGAGCCUCCACACUCCUCUUCUUUCUUCCCUUAUUGAUUACCAAGUCCAUCACCAAUAACCUAUAUUGAGCCAAGAAAUUCUCGCUAGGUAUGACUUUACAGUCUUUACAUAGCACUCUAUCACCCUUCUAAAGGAGCAAAAAGUCUAUCUAAGUAUUGGCAACUGAACUAUGAAAAGUAAUAAUAAGGUGCUCCUUCUUCUUCGAAAAACUCGAAUUUGCUAUCCACAACCCAAAAGCCCUAGAAAAAUCCAAAAGAGAAGCUCCUCCUUCAUUCCUCUCCCCAAAAUCGAAAUCGCCAUACGUAUCAUCAUAACCUCUCGACAAAGACCUAAUAUGCCCAUUAAAAUCACCUCUCACAAAAAGCUUCUCAGUGCACGGGACGCCCCUCACUGCCUCAUCCAAAACCUCCCAAAAUCCCUUCCUUUUCUCCUCGUCCAAACCUACUUACGGAGCAUAGGCACUAAUAACGUUCAUUGUAGACCCUUCAAUGAUCAACUUAAUAGACAUCAACCUAUCACUGAUUCUCUUAACCUUCACCACUUGCUCCCUAAGUUCUUCAUCUACUAAGAUACCUACCACAUUUCUAUGUCUCAUGCUACCCGAGUACCAUAACUUAUAUCGAUCCACAUCUCUUGCCUUAGUGCCUAUCCAUUUAGUUUCCUAGACAUACGCUAUACUAACCCUCCCCUUUCUAAGAAUAUUUAUCAAUUCUAUAGACUUACCUUGAAGUGUCCCUAUGUUCCAGGACCCAAUGCAAGCACCCUUAUCUCACCUAGCCCUACUCCCCUUCGCCCCAACCCCGAACUCGAACCUAAACCCGACCCCAGCCCCGAUUCCAAUCUAUGACAUGAACCUAAUCCACCAUCUAUCCACCUAGCCACCAUUGAAAAGGAUAUGAUAGAAGAAAAUGAAGAAAAAAAGGAGACAAAAAACACGAUGUACAAAGGGUACGACUAAAAACAGCUAAAUAAGCAAACAAAAACCAGCAAGCAGGCUUGACACUUCGAAGCAACAACAAGCACUAUACUACCCACCAUAGGUAUGCUAAUAAAGAACAACUACUAAGUUACGGAGAAUGAAACCAGUAAUCCCAUAGGAACAAUCAAGAAAACCAGACAAGACAGCAAGAUAGAAAAAGAGACAAAAAGCCUAUACCAAAUAAAGUAGGGAGGAAUAAACAAGAGAAGAAUGAAACGAGUGCACCUGAUAUUGGGAGAAGACGCAGUGAAGGACGUUUUCUUGAUUGUUUUGUCGAAUUCCGAUAAAUUAGUGCCGAAAUUAGUCACCGAAAUUUGCUGCCUUUACCCUACUGCUGGUACUGUGUCCCUAUAAUUGGUCACCGACGAAUGUGUUGGUCGCCGGAAAAUGAGCUGGUCAUCGAAAUCUUGAUGUCGUCGCUUGAAGUACCGGAUCUGGGCUUGUAGUACCUACAAAAAGGUUAUAAAGAAAAAGGAACAAAGCUGAAAUACUCGCCAGAAACCGAUGUCACUCACCGAAAAUUGAUGUUCGUCCGUGAAACUUCGGCGUUGGCUUGGUGCGUCGACUGUGACACUGGUUCUUCAUCGGUGUUUGAGGAGAUGGAAGUGGACAGGGGUUGUAACUGUUGGUUUCUCCGGCAGUGGCCGACGUUACGGAUAUCGGUGAGGAUGGUGCUCUACCGACGAGGGUGAGAGUAGUGCAGUCUCACCGGUGAGAAAGUGAGGGUGUCGGCUGGUUUUGUGACUGGUGGGCUGUUCAGGGUGGUCGCUUGUGGUUGGCGGCGGUUGGCGAGUGAGAUCCAAGAAGGACGAAAACAAGAGUUCAAGGACGAAAAUCUUCCGUGAAUUCUUUAAAGAAUCAUUAAAACUCGAAAAUUGAGGAGUCUUCCUUUUCUUCGUUUCAUAUUAGUCUCUCUGCUUCAAAAUUUUGGCACUUUCCCUGCAUAUGCUUAUUCUUUUUUCCUCGAUAAAAUUUAUUCCUUUUAAUUUUUAUAUCAAUACAUCCUUGAAUUGAGUUUUAUUCCUUUAUACAGGCUGAUGAUUAUUUAGUGUUAAUGAGUUUUGUACGCUUUGUUUCAUGAAUAAUUUAGGAGUUAAU